rnacentral:misc_RNA from 1 species
GUAGGUGAACUUGCGGAAGGAUCAUUGUCGAAACCUGCCCAGCAGAGCGACCCGUGAACACGUUCAACCUCGUGGGUGCUGGGGCGUUGCACGGUGCCUUGUGUGCCUGCUCGCCCCUCUCCUAGGCCGGGGAGCGCUCACUUGUGGGCUGUUUCCCGGCUAACCAACGAACCCCUGCGCAUAAAUGCGUCAAGGAAUAUAAACUUUAUGUGUGUGCUCUCAUAUCGCCCGGUUAGCCAGGCGUUGGAGU